rnacentral:rRNA from 1 species
UACGUAGGGAGCAAGCGUUGUCCGGAUUUAUUGGGCGUAAAGCGCGCGCAGGCGGUUUAUUAAGUCUGAUGUGAAAGCCCACGGCUCAACCGUGGAGGGCCAUUGGAAACUGGUAGGCUUGAGUGCAGGAGAGGAGAGCGGAAUUCCCGGUGUAGCGGUGAAAUGCGUAGAUAUCAGGAGGAACACCGAUGGCGAAGGCAGGUCUCUGGGCUGACACUGACGCUCAUGCACGAAAGCGUGGGGAGCAAACAGG